GAGAUGUCUGCCUUUUUGUUCUGAGCUGCGGACUGAGGCAGAGGGUCCGAGGCAUGCUCUAUGGGCAGUACACUGGCUGGUCUCCAGAGGCUAGUGCACAGAGAGAGUCCAUCAUGCUCACAAACACUGCAUGUACCACGCUGGGACACAGCUCCUUCUGAGAUGUUGUUUGCUAAACCACAAGAU
rfam:Otolemur garnettii contig000688, whole genome shotgun sequence.